AAGCGGAGGAAAAGAAACCAACAGGGAUUGCCCCAGUAACGGCGAGUGAAGCGGCAACAGCUCAAAUUUGAAAUCUGGCCCCUCCCCCGGGGGGGCCCGAGUUGUAAUUUGCAGAGGAUGCUUCUGGCGAGGUGCCUUCCGAGUUCCCUGGAACGGGACGCCACAGAGGGUGAGAGCCCCGUCUGGUCGGACACCGAGCCUCUGUGAAGCUCCUUCGACGAGUCGAGUAGUUUGGGAAUGCUGCUCUAAAUGGGAGGUAUAUGUCUUCUAAAGCUAAAUACCGGCCAGAGACCGAUAGCGCACAAGUAGAGUGAUCGAAAGAUGAAAAGCACUUUGAAAAGAGGGUUAAACAGUACGUGAAAUUGUUGAAAGGGAAGCGCUCACGACCAGACCUGGUCCCGGCGAAUCACCCGGCGUUCUCGCCGGUGCACUUCGACGGGCUUCCAGGCCAGCAUCAGUCCGCGCCGGGGGACAAAGGCGGCGGGAACGUGGCUCCCCAGGGAGUGUUAUAGCCCGCCGCGCAAUGCCCCGGGGGCGGACUGAGGACCGCGCGUCACCGCAAGGAUGCUGGCGUAAUGGUCUUCAGCGACCCGUCUUGAAACACGGACCAAGGAGUCGUCCUCGUAUGCGAGUGUUGGGGCGUCAAACCCCCCGCGCGUAAUGAAAGUGAACGGCAGGUGAGAGCCCUCGCGGGCGCAUCAUCGACCGAUCCUGAUGUUCUCGGAUGGAUUUGAGUAAGAGCAUACGGGGCCGGACCCGAAAGAAGGUGAACUAUGCCUGUGUAGGGUGAAGCCAGAGGAAACUCUGGUGGAGGCUCGCAGCGGUUCUGACGUGCAAAUCGAUCGUCAAACAUGGGCAUGGGGGCGAAAGACUAAUCGAACCUUC
rnacentral:rRNA from 1 species